rnacentral:rRNA from 1 species
GACGAACGCUGGCGGCGUGCUUAACACAUGCAAGUCGAACGGAAAGGCCCUGCUUUUGUGGGGUGCUCGAGUGGCGAACGGGUGAGUAACACGUGAGUAACCUGCCCUUGACUUUGGGAUAACUUCAGGAAACUGGGGCUAAUACCGGAUAGGAGCUCCUGCUGCAUGGUGGGGGUUGGAAAGUUUCGGCGGUUGGGGAUGGACUCGCGGCUUAUCAGCUUGUUGGUGGGGUAGUGGCUUACCAAGGCUUUGACGGGUAGCCGGCCUGAGAGGGUGACCGGCCAAAAUGGGACUGAGAUACGGCCCAGACUCCUACGGGAGGCAGCAGUGGGGAAUAUUGCACAAUGGGCGGAAGCCUGAUGCAGCAACGCCGCGUGCGGGAUGACGGCCUUCGGGUUGUAAACCGCUUUCGCCUGUGACGAAGCGUGAGUGACGGUAAUGGGUAAAGAAGCACCGGCUAACUACGUG